UGAGGAACAUGACCUUCGGCGGGGGAUAGCCGGCCCAACGGCCGGGUAAUACCGCGUACGACCACAUGGGGACAUCCCUGAGUGGUGAAAGCAGCAAUGCGCCGAUGGAGUGCCUCGCGGCCUAUCAGCUAGUUGGUGAGGUAACGGCUCACCAAGGCGACGACGGGUAGCUGGUCUGAGAGGAUGGCCAGCCACAUUGGGACUGAGACACCGGCCAGACCUGUACGGGA
rnacentral:rRNA from 1 species